rnacentral:tRNA from 1 species
UAGGAUUUGGUAUAGUUUGGUAGUACGGAGAUUUUUGAGUUCUCAGGGUUAGGUUCAAGUCCUAUAAUCCUAG